UACGUAGGGAGCAAGCGUUGUCCGGAAUCAUUGGGCGUAAAGCGCGCGUAGGCGGCCCGAUAAGUCCGCUGUAAAAGUCAACGGCUCAACUGUUGAAAGCCGGUGGAUACUGUCGGGCUAGAGUACGGAAGAGGCAAGUGGAAUUCCUGGUGUAGCGGUGGAAUGCGCAGAUAUCAGGAGGAACACCUAUAGCGAAGGCAGUUUGCUGGGACGUUACUGACGCUAAGGCGCGAAAGCGUGGGGAGCGAACAGG
rnacentral:rRNA from 1 species